GAUGAACGCUGGCGGCGUGCCUAAUACAUGCAAGUCGAGCGAACAGACGAGGAGCUUGCUCCUCUGACGUUAGCGGCGGACGGGUGAGUAACACGUGGAUAACCUACCUAUAAGACUGGGAUAACUUCGGGAAACCGGAGCUAAUACCGGAUAAUAUAUUGAACCGCAUGGUUCAAUAGUGAAAGACGGUUUUGCUGUCACUUAUAGAUGGAUCCGCGCCGCAUUAGCUAGUUGGUAAGGUAACGGCUUACCAAGGCAACGAUGCGUAGCCGACCUGAGAGGGUGAUCGGACACACUGGAACUGAGACACGGUCCAGACUCCUACGGGAGGCAGCAGUAGGGAAUCUUCCGCAAUGGGCGAAAGCCUGACGGAGCGACGCCGCGUGAGUGAUGAAGGUCUUCGGAUCGUAAAACUCUGUUAUUAGGGAAGAACAAAUGUGUAAGUAACUAUGCACGUCUUGACGGUACCUAAUCAGAAAGCCACGGCUAACUACGUG
rnacentral:rRNA from 1 species